rfam:Marine metagenome ctg_1101668191075, whole genome shotgun sequence.
CUAAUAGAUCAGAGAUGACCUAUGAUGCACUUACAGAAGUCAGCCGACGUCAUAGUAGAUGAUUUAAUCUUUCUGGAUUUUAAGGAGGGUCCACAUCGAAUCAUUGAAGGAC